rnacentral:tRNA from 1 species
GCGCCAAUAGCUCAGUAGGAUAGAGCAUCAGCCUUCUAAGCUGAGGGUCGCAGGUUCGAAUCCUGCUUGGCGUA